ACCGCCCUAGUUCUGACCGUAAACUAUGCCAUCUAGCGAUCCGAUGGGGUAUUGUUGCCUUGUCGAGGAGCUUCCCGGAAACGAAAGUCUUUCGGUUCCUGGGGUAGUAUGGUUGCAAAGCUGAAACUUAAAGAAAUUGACGGAAUGGCACCACCAGGAGUGGAGCCUGCGGCUUAAUUUGACUCAACACGGGAAAACUCACCCGGCCCGGACACCGUAAGGAUUGACAGAUUGAAAGCUCUUUCUCGAUUUGGUGGUUGGUGGUGCAUGGCCGUUCUUAGUUGGUGGAGCGAUUUGUCUGGUUUAUUCCGAUAACGAGCGAGACUCUAGCCUGCUAAAUAGUGGCUGGAUUUUCACGUCCAGUCUACUUCUUAGAGGGAUAAGCGGUGUUUAGCCGCACGAGAUUGAGCGAUAACAGGUCUGUGAUGCCCUUAGAUGUCCGGGGCUGCACGCGCGCUACAAUGGAAGAAUCAGCUGGCCUAUCCAUUGCCGAAAGGCAUUGGUAAACCGUUGAAACUCUUCCGUGACCGGGAUAGGGAAUUGUAAUUAUUUCCCUUGAACGAGGAAUUCCUAGUAAGUGUGAGUCAUCAGCUCACGCUGAUUACGUCCC
rnacentral:rRNA from 1 species